GGAGGUACAAACGUAACUCCUACUCCCAUAGUCAAUUGUACCGUUGAACUAGUUUGCAGAACACAAGAUCUCCUAUCAGCUGAGUCACUUGAGCUCUACAAUCAACUGGCUACGGUUGUGCAGGCUACAGCUGAAAUUGAACUGGAACUCUUCCGUACUCGUACCAAUAAUCAAGAGGGUACACUGUGUGAAGUCAAUCAGGGCACACGUAAUGAUGGGAGAGAUGUGACUGUAUCCUUCAAUGGCAUGCAAACUGCACAAAUAUCCGCCAACUCCUCCAUGCUGCCCGUUGGCUUUCUCAGUGCACUCUAUAAAUCGGAAGACUUUGAUGGAUUUGGCAGACUGCGUAUCUCCCUGGAUCUGAUUAGCGGUACGGCUCAACUCAUCGCCCUUCAACCACCCAGUGCAGUACUGUUUCUGGACUUCCCACCCACUGAACAAAUCUGUGACGAAUUCACCAUUUGCAGAGACCCGCCUCUCACCAUACCACCUCCUAACACCCAGCCGCCACGUCCAUUUGUUGCCAUGCCGACCAGUGACAAUCUCCAAGCAGCCAUCUCAAGGAAUCUCUGUAAUCGUGCGGCAUGUGAAGUCAAUGGACCCACAGUAUGUGUGUGAAAAGCCAGGCCUCUACUCGCAGCCAAAACCCUGAUAGCCUUUAUGAUAACACCAGGCGUGCCCAAACUCUACAAGUCCUGAUUUUCAAUGUUAGUCCACACUGAUUAGUGAUAGUGUGUUGAUUUCUUGAUUCCACUCUUCGUCACAAUAGGAUUUUCACCUCGUUUUGUUGAUUUUCCACUAGAUCUUACACUACACUGAACAACUACAGUUACGUCAUGAUCUCAAAUAAGCGCAUGUGCCAUGAACUAACCAAUAGGCAAUACCUAUCAUCUAACCCAGACUGCCAGAGGCCCUAUUAUGAAUUCACAGCUGAACGGAUAUACUAUGUAGCUAUAAUCUCUAUACACAAGUUGAUUGACAAAUCAAGACUCAAGUUUACACGUCGUAUUAUCCUCAAAUCACAAUUGAAUGCCGAGGACAGUACUAUGAGACGGACA